GAUGAACGCUGGCGGCGUGCCUAACACAUGCAAGUCGAGGGGCAGCAUUUUAGUUUGCUUGCAAACUAAAGAUGGCGACCGGCGCACGGGUGAGUAACACGUAUCCAACCCGCCGAUAACUCGGGGAUAGCCUUUCGAAAGAAAGAUUAAUACCCGAUAGCAUAAUGAUUCCGCAUGGUUUCAUUAUUAAAGGAUUCCGGUAAAGGAUGGGGAUGCGUUCCAUUAGGUUGUUGGUGAGGUAACGGCCCACCAAGCCUUCGAUGGAUAGGGGUUCUGAGAGGAAGGUCCCCCACAUUGGAACUGAGACACGGUCCAA
rnacentral:rRNA from 1 species